UACGGGGGGGGCAAGCGUUGUUCGGAAUCAUUGGGCGUAAAGCGUACGUAGGCGGCCCGGUAAGUCCGUUGUAAAAGUCAAAGGCUCAACCUUUGAAAGCCGAUGGAUACUGCCGGGCUAGAGUCCGGAAGAGGCGAGUGGAAUUCCUGGUGUAGCGGUGGAAUGCGCAGAUAUCAGGAAGAACACCCGUGGCGAAGGCGGUUCUCUGGGACGGUACUGACGCUGAGACGCGAAAGCGUGGGGAGCGAACAGG
rnacentral:rRNA from 1 species